GACGAACGCUGGCGGCGUGCCUAACACAUGCAAGUCAACUUGACUGAAGGAGCAAUCUGACAGUAGAGUGGCGCAAGGGUGCGUAACGCGUAAGUAACCUUGCCCCAAGGUAAGGAAUAACGUCGAGAAAUCGGCGCUAAUACCUCAUAAUGCAGCGGAUCCGCAUGGAUAUGUUGUUAAAGGUUUACCGCCUUGGGAUAGGCUUGCGUCUGAUUAGCUAGUUGGUGUGGUAACGGCACACCAAGGCUACGAUCAGUAACUGGUCUGAGAGGAUGAUCAGUCACACUGGAACUGAGACACGGUCCAGACUCCUACGGGAGGCAGCAGUGAGGAAUAUUGGGCAAUGCUCGAAAGAGUGACCCAGCAACGCCGCGUGGAGGAUGAAGGUAUUCUAUAUCGUAAACUCCUGUGAGAGCAGACGAAAGACAG
rnacentral:rRNA from 1 species